CCACGUGACAAACCUAUUGAAUAGUGAAAGUCGACGUUUCCUACAUUUCUUCUCCGCAUCUCUUGAAGAAACCCUAACACACAUCUCUCAAGUUCAGCCACACACCAAGUCUCUGCCUCUCUCCCUCUUGCAACUCCGACCACCGGAGUAAGCUCCGGCGACAGGCACAUACCCAGCUCCGGUUCUCUUCUACAGCCGCAUACCUACCUCCAAUCUCUGGUCUCUCCUUAAAAUCAAAACGACAGAUAGAGAGCCUGAAACAGAGACUAAGAACACAUACAUACAAACCCUAGAGAAAGGAGUGAGAUGUGCAGAUGUCUAGAGAUGGAAAGAGAGUCUGGGAGAAAGAAUCGUGAUGGACUGGUGGCUGACCACCGCCACCGUUGGCGGCGCCACCUGAUUCCGGCGCGUCAACGACCCCAACCGACGGAACAAUGGCUGAGCCCUUGAGAGAAAGAAGACGCUGGCCUUGAAGACGGUUAGCAUUCCGACCAAAUUAGACCAGGUUCCGGUGUUCCGGUGAAGGUACGACUAGGGUUCUACGAGCAGUGCCGGCAAAGAUAAUCAGUUGAAGAUCCGGUGAGCGGAUUAAAGCCUGUAUGGGAGUUCUUCAAGUGAAUCGGCAACUUUCCAGGCCGACUCUACAUAUAAGGGAGACUUCAGCUGGCAUCUACAACAGCAACACGUCUAUCUAAACCCAGCUACCGGCCCUGCGAAGUCAAUCGCCAUGCUUUCAGUUUUGAUCAAGGACUGUUGCAGAACGGAGCAUGAUUCGUAACUUCUCGUCGCUGUACAUUUUGUGAGUACGAAUGAAUCUGGGGUGAUUACGGUUACCGGAAAAGCAUCGUCUGGUGUCCGUAGGAAUGAAUUUCUCACAGAAUUUAUGUUUGAAUAGCACUCGCAAUGGGGAAUGAUGUGUUGUGAAGAACUUCGGGUGAAGUGGAAGGACAUGAAAUCGAUGAGAAGGCAAACCAUCCGAGAGACGACCAGUGUAUCAAUCGAUCGACUGAAAAAGUGUUAUAUGUGUAGAGGUGAUGGGGUAACCAAGACUAAGGUAACCAUUGAUAUUGAUUCACAAGUUGAUGGCAAAGUUCUUAAUUUUUAUUUUUGUUAAGAAUUUGAAUACAAACCAUACUCAAAUGUGAAAAAUAUGAACAUCUGGGCUAAAUAAAAUUCUCAUUUAAUAAAAAUAAUAGGAUUCGAGCCAAUUAAAAGCUCAGAUUAACUAAGUGGACAAAUGUGGGAUAUUAUUUAUUAGCUAAACAUUUAUUUUGAUUUAACAUUUAGAUUGUCAAGGGCCUUAAAUUUUAUAUUAAUGGUUGGUGUCAUUGAACUUUGAUUUAAAGAACGAUGUGGGUCUGCAAUAAUAAGAAAAUUCUUUAAUAG